GACGAACGCUGGCGGCGUGCUUAACACAUGCAAGUCGAACGGAAAGCCCCGGCUUUUGUGGGGUACUCGAGUGGCGAACGGGUGAGUAAGACGUGAGUAACCAACCCUCGACUUUGGGAUAACUACAGGAAACUGGGGCUAAUAACUGAUAGAAGCUACUGCAGCAUGGCGGGGGGGGGAGAGUUUCGGCGGUUGGGGAAGGUAUCGCGGCUAAUAAGCUGGUGGGUGGGGUAGUGGCUUACCAAGGCGUGGACGGGGAGCCGGCCUGGGAGGGUGACCGGCCACAUUGGGAUUGGGAUACGGGCCAUACGCCUACGUGAGGCAUCAGUGGGGGAUAUUGCACGAUGGGCGGAAGCCUUAUUGACCAACUCCGCGUUGGGGAUGACGGCCUUCGGGUUGGAAACCGCUUCCUGCUAUGACGGAGCGGGAGUGACGGUACCGGAUUAGAAAGCACCGGCUAACUACGUG
rnacentral:rRNA from 1 species